UACGUAGGUGUCGAGCGUUGUCCGGAUUUAUUGGGCGUAAAGAGCCCGCAGGCGGCUUGGCAAGUUUGAGGUGAAAUCUCCCGGCUUAACUGGGAGGGGGCCUCGAAAACUGCCAGGCUUGAGGCAUGGAGAGGGAUGCGGAAUUCCCGGUGUAGUGGUGAAAUGCGUAGAUAUCGGGAGGAACACCAGUGGCGAAGGCGGCAUCCUGGCCAUGUCCUGACGCUCAGGGGCGAAAGCGUGGGAAGCAAACCGG
rnacentral:rRNA from 1 species